AAAAGCAAUGAUGGCCGCAGAGACCAGGCCCAAGCGACUGUUUACUAAAAACACAGGUCCGUGCGAAGUCGCAAGACGAUGUAUACGGACUGACGCCUGCCCGGUGCUGGAAGGUUAAGAGGACCGGUUAGUGACCUUUUAGGUUGCGAAGCUGAGAAUUUAAGCCCCAGUAAACGGCGGUGGUAACUAUAACCAUCCUAAGGUAGCGAAAUUCCUUGUCGGGUAAGUUCCGACCUGCACGAAUGGCGUAACGAUGGCCACACUGUCUCCUCCCGAGACUCAGCGAAGUUGAAAUGUUUGUGAUGAUGCAAUCUACCCGCGGCUAGACGGAAAGACCCCAUGAACCUUUACUGUAGCUUUGCAUUGGACUUUGAACCGAUCUGUGUAGGAUAGGUGGGAGGCUUUGAAGCGGGGACGCCAGUUCUCGUGGAGCCAUCCUUGAAAUACCACCCUGGUUUGUUUGAGGUUCUAACCUUGGUCCGUUAUCCGGAUCGGGGACAGUGCAUGGUAGGCAGUUUGACUGGGGCGGUCUCCUCCCAAAGUGUAACGGAGGAGUUCGAAGGUACGCUAGGUACGGUCGGACAUCGUGCUAAUAGUGCAAUGGCAUAAGCGUGCUUAACUGCGAGACCGACAAGUCGAGCAGGUACGAAAGUAGGACAAAGUGAUCCGGUGGUUCUGUAUGGAAGGGCCAUCGCUCAACGGAUAAAAGGUACUCUGGGGAUAACAGGCUGAUACCGCCCAAGAGUUCAUAU
rnacentral:rRNA from 1 species